AACAUUUUGAGAAAAAGAAAAGGCAUACUUCUAACAGGAGCACUUUGAUUCUCUUAGAAUUUCAUCCAGGUAGUAACAAGUGAUGUAUAACCACAAUGGAACAUUACUUCAGAAGGAUAUCCCUGGCAUUUUAGUUCCCCCACAAGUAUUUUGAAAAUAAA